GUAGUAGUGGUGGUAGUAUUAAUAGUAGGAUUACUGGUAGGAUUAUUAGUUGAUGAUGUGGUAUAAAUAGUAGUAGUAAUAAAACUAUUACUAAAUCUAAUAUAACUACUCAGUAUUUGACCUAUCUUUCUACCUACCUGCCUGUCUGUGUGUAUUGUUUAUCUAGCUGUUUAUCGUCCUAUAUAUCUACCGACCUACCCAUCCAUUCAUUUGUCCAUCUGCUUGUUCAUCCAUCCACCCUACCGUUCAUUCACACAUCCACAAUCUAUCUAUCUCUGUUCAGGUGAUGCACGACAGACCGGAGAUUCUGACCGCACGUAUGAAGGUCUUCAAGAACGGAGACUCGGCACAAUACUCCCAAAUCACCGUGUGUAUCAAAAUCUACACAGCUCUGAUCCGAAUUACAGCAACUUGCGAAGUUUAUCUACAUAAAGAUGUAAAGAAAACAUCACAAUUUAGUGUUAUAAUUGAGAUUAAUAGUGAUGUGUAUGAGAGAGCGAGAGCGAGAGAGAGAGCGAGAGAGAGAGCGAGAGCGAGAGCGAGAGCGAGAGAGAGAGCGAGAGCGAGAGAGAGCGCAGUAGAUUUUAUGUGUGUACUGUGAUGUUUCAUUAGUGAAAGACACCAAAUACCAUUUAUUCACGGGAUAGUUUGAGGAAAAGUCGAACAGACCUAUUUCACAUACCGGAAAUAUAUCUGCACAAGAAGUCUGCUAUUUGACUGAUAAUUUCAUGGCAGACAGUUGUCAAUUUCAAUAUUACAGUCACUAUUUAGUGUUGGGGGCGGCAUCUAGCUGAUGGUAGAGCGCUAAUCUGAGGUUCGACUCACCUCAAUGGACCCAUUCACCGAUUGGGUUUUUUCCUGUCCCAAGCAAUGCCCCACGAUUCGUAUAUCAAUGGUAUGUGCUGCCAUGUAUGUGGAUGUCCCAAGCAAUGCCCCACGAUUCGUAUAUCAAUGGGAUGUGCUGCCAUGUAUGUGGGAAAGGGUGAAAAUGUAGCAGGUUUCGUCUAAGACCCAAUGUUUGACAUCAAAUAGCAGCUGAUUAAUAAAACAGUGUGCUCUAGUGGUGUCGUUAAACAAUAAAAACUUUACUAUUCAAUGUCAAUCUUCAAAUGUGUUUUCUCAUCGUUUGGAUUUUUGUCAGUAUCUCUGAUUUAAAUUUAAUUUUAAAUUAUCAAAUCGAUCGCACUUCAUUACAACGAAAAGUACACAAGUAAAAAUACAGCUAGCUUGUUUUUGUUUUCAUUUUCGUUUGAAGUGGGUUUUCACAUUUCAGGCAACUGUUUAUACCAUGUGCAUCAUUUAUUUGUCAUAUGGUUUGUCUAUAGGACAGUUAAAAUGAUAUAUUAUAUGUAUGUACAUAUUUUUUUUUGUAAUAAAGUAUUUAAUGUGUG